GUAGUCCACGCUGUAAACGAUGGGUGCUAGCCGUUGGGGCCUUAGGUCUCGGUGGCGUAGCUAACGCGUUAAGCACCCCGCCUGGGGAGUACGGUCGCAAGAUUAAAACUCAAAGAAAUUGACGGGGACCCGCACAAGCGGUGGAACAUGUGGUUUAAUUCGAGGCAACGCGAAGAACCUUACCAGGCCUUGACAUGCUCUCUAUGGCUUCCCGAAAAGGAAGCCUUCACUUCGGGUGGGAGAUGCACAGGUGCUGCAUGGCUGUCGUCAGCUCGUGUCGUGAGAUGUUGGGUUAAGUCCCGCAACGAGCGCAACCCUCAUUCCUUGUUGCUAACAGGUUAGGCUGAGAACUCUAGGAAAACUGCCGGUGAUAAGCCGGA
rnacentral:rRNA from 1 species